UACGUAGGGUGCGAGCGUUGUCCGGAAUUAUUGGGCGUAAAGAGCUCGUAGGCGGCCUGUCGCGUCGGAUGUGAAAGCCCGGGGCUUAACCCCGGGUCUGCAUUCGAUACGGGCAGGCUAGAGUUCGGUAGGGGAGAUCGGAAUUCCUGGUGUAGCGGUGAAAUGCGCAGAUAUCGGGAGGAACACCAAUGGCGAAGGCAGCUCGCUGGGACGGUACUGACGCUGAGGCGCGAAAGCGUGGGGAGCAAACAGG
rnacentral:rRNA from 1 species